rnacentral:lncRNA from 1 species
UAGUUUCUAAGAAUGUAGGAGAGAAAAACAUAUAGAUGAUCAUUGGGGUAUGUGUAUUUAUAGAACUCAAUUUCUUAAUCACAGUUUUUCAGCAAUGUAUACAUGAAGCUCAAUAAAUUUUUUAAAUAUUAAAAUAAAGUCAUAUAUUUUAAAAGUAUUUACUUGCAAUCAAGAUCAUCGUAAGACACAUCAUUUGAAUCAAAAUUAGUACACUUUGAAGAUAAGAAAUGAUAUGUUUCGGAUGCGUAUCGGAGCAAUCAACCAAAGGCAUCAGAAUUAAUUCUGUUUUUCUUACAUUAAGAUUUUAUUUAGAAAUCAUAUUGAGUCUAAGCUUGUAUACAAAAUCAGAUUCUGAAUUACAUAGGAUUUUCAAUUGAGGUUUUCAAAAUCAUAAUUUGAGAUAUAUAUCUUCCACGUUAUAGCUCAUCUUAAAUCAUUAAGAUUGAAAACGCAUAUUUCAAUAACAUUAGAGCACUUUCAGAAUCUUUGUAUUUAAUUUUGAGUUUUGAUACAAAAUGGAGGAUAUUUUAACAAGUAUUAGGAUAUUAUGUAUCAAAGUUAGGCAAGUAGAAAGAUAGAUCAAGAUUAA